GGGGGAGAAAAAAGAAAAAAAAAAAGGAAAAAAAAAUUUCAUUUUCUAUAAUGAUUCUGUGUUAGGCCAGAACUUGGUUAUGUCACAGUAUUAGCACUGCCUCAGUUAAAGGUUUAAUUUUUGUUUAAACCUAGAAGUGCAACAACAGUUUUACCACAGUCUGCACUCGCAGAACUAAAAAAAAAAAAAAAGGAAAAAAAAAAUAGAAAUAAAAUCCAAACUACAUAUGUUUAUUUUUUGUGCCUACCUCAUUGUUUUUAAUGCAUAAAAUAAAAGAGGUGGUUUAGUUUAUACGUUUUUAGAUGAAAACCAUUAAUGUCUAAUUUAAUCUUAAUACCAAAACUACCAGAUUGAAAGGUUUCCGACUGUUAUUGCAUAGCAAGUUUCAGCAGGAGGAGAGAGUGGUCCGUCGGGGCAAUAGUGGUAGCGGUAUGGCAGUGAGACACUGAUUAAUGUAAUUUGCUUACAAAAUUUGGUGAAGCAAGCAUUUUUUUAAACCAGUUUCAUCCUUAAUAGAAGUCUGAAUUUAGCCUAAAACCGGAGGCUUCACUCUGCUAACACGUUGGGCUUAGUAACAGGCAGGUAAAAAUAACUAGGCUAGUUCUAUAAACUGUUAAAUGUUGUAGGAAACAUUUUGGGGCGGUGAUGUUUUUCUUUUUUAAGAAUGCAAUGCACUAAAACUCUUUUAAGAAUGUAGUUAAUACUGCUUAUUCAUAAAGACAGCGUAUACCUGUGUUUAGAUGUAAGAUCCCAGCUCUGGCUUUUUUUUUUUCUUUCUUCUUUUUUUUUUUUAAGUCAGUUUUAUUUUAUGAAUAAGUUUCUGACAUUUGUAAUAAAUGUCUUGAGAGUAAUAAUUUGUUUAAUGGCUACAUGUUCAUUACUUGAGAAACCUUGAGUGUAUAAUAAUCUGUUGGUGUUGUAAUAAUGCACAGUGUCACGAUUCAGCCACUUUCCUUUUUGUUUUCACUUUUUUUUUUUAAUUCCUUUAAUUCACAAUUCAGCCACUUUCCUUUUUGUUCUCACUUCUUUUUUGGUUUUUUUUAAUUCCUUUGGUGGGGUACUUUGUUGACAGCUGCCUUAAGCUGUUCAUUCAGUGAACAGGCUCUCAGUGUUUCAUGGGCUUUGUCUUCUGCUGCGGUUAACUUUCCUUCACGGCAUGACAGGUAGGGCUUUUUAAACACGUAUUCUUCAAUUCAGUCAAGCCGAUGGCUCGAGCGACUGGUCACACAAUCAAUUUAAGAGCCACAAGCACCAAGUGUGCAAAGCUCAGACUCGACAGACCCUUCUUUUGGUGUCAAAUCUGACUGCUGUAAAUCCUUCAACCCCAAUCAGCAUUGCUGCUGAAGACUCUCCUUCGAACAUCGUAGACGGUUGAAAAGCGAGCGGUAAAUGCGCACCGCCAGCGUGUGUGUGUUUGCACACAACACCCUAUCCCACCCCCCAAAAAAAGAAUCACAACUCAAGGAAGCCUUACAUUUGCUGGCGGAGGAAUACCUAGAACUAUUUUUUUUUUAAUUGUAUGACUUUUGGAUAGCGUUGAAGGUGAAGGAUGUGUUCUUUUCGGGCCCGGUGCGGUCAACCAGAAGAACGAUCAACCUUUUGUACUAUAAUGAACUAAAGGGGACUCAGAAACGCAAUGUGAUGGUAGACAUGGGUGUAAUCACACAGCUGCCCUAUAGUGUAGUUUGCCAAAGCUGAUUCGAUCGAAUGUCAGUCUGCGUGAUUUAAAUCUUCCAGCGGUCAAAAUUUAAUCUAGUCCUUGAAAGCUGAUGCUAUUCACCUAGAAGAUGCUCCUAGCUGAUGCUAUUCACCUAGAAGAUGCUCCAGUACUGUAGGGAUGCCCAAGUCAUGGAUAUGUGAUGUUGAAGUUUGGAGGCUCUGGGGAGGCGGGGGGGAAUCUCCUUCCUGUGGUGGGCUGCCUGCCUGGCAGCUUCUGCCUCCCCGGAAGUGCCAACAUGGCAAGGUAAAAACAGUAUUACAAAACCACUACGUAUACCGACACCGAACACUUCAAACAGUGCUUUUGUAAGCAAAGAAGAAAAGAAAAGCUCCUAGGUUUAGUUUUAAGCUUUAAUAAGUAAUAAUUUUCUGUAUCUUUAAGUCAAAGUAACCCUAACUUGUAUGACUGCAGUGUUUUUAUUUUUUAUCUUAUGCACAUGUUAUGUUGGAGAAAAUGUUUACAAAAAUGGUUUUGUUACACUAAUGUGCAUCACAUAUUUAUGGUUUAUUUGAAAGUGAUUUUUGUGGGUUUUUUAGUUUUUCAUAGUAGUAGUAGUACACUUUUUGUGAUUUAUAACCCCAAACUCUGCUGAUUAUAAAGAUGCUAAACAAUAAUACAAAAUGACAAACUGCAUUAAAAUUACUAAUCGUAGAGCUGCAAAGCAGACUGGUGACAAGUAAAACACUCAGCCUUUUUUUUGCAGUGCUAUCUAACUUGUCUUCUGUGUAUUAUGGAAAUUACUGUUUUUUCCCCGUUUUUCCUUAAAUAAAGUCAAAUUGACACCUA
ensembl:lncRNA